GAUGAACGCGGGCGGCGUGUCUAAUCGUGCAAGUCGAGCGAACAGACGAGGAUGUUGCUCCUCUGACGUUGGCGGAGGACUGAUGAAUAACACGUGGAUCACCUACCUAUAAUGGUGGGAUAACUUCAGGAAACCGGAGCUAAUACCGGAUAAUAUGUUGCACCGGAUGGUUCAAUAGUGAAAGACUGGUUUGCUGUCACUUAUAGAUGGAUCCCCGCCUCAUUAGCUAGGUGGGAAAGGAACUGACUUAGCAAGGCAACGAUGCGUAGACGAGCUGGGGGGGUGAUCCGCCACGCUGGAGAUGAGACACGCUCCACUACUCCUGGGGGAGGCAGCAGGGGAGCAUCUUCCGCGGUGGGCGAAAUGCUGACCGACCCACGCCGCGUGAGUGAUGAAGGCCUACCGAUCCUAAAACUCUGUUAUUAAGAAAGAACGAGUGAGUAAGUAAGUCUGCACGUCUCGACCCUAACAAAUCAGAAAGGCUCAGUUCACGACACGCGACCAGGCAAACGAAUAUGGAGAUGGCAAGCCUGAUCCACAGUUCAUUAUGGGCGUAAGCGCGCGUAGGCGGUUUUUUAGUCUGAUGUGAAAGCCCCUCGCCUGCGCGUGGAGGGUCAUUGGAAACCGGAAAACUUGAGUGCAUUAGAGGAAAGUGGAAUUCCAUGUGUAGCGGUGAAAUGCGCAGAGAUAUGGAGGAACACCAGUGGCGAAGGCGACUUUCUGGUCUGUAACUGACGCUGAUGUGCGAAAGCGUGGGGAUCAAACAGGAUUAGAUACCCUGGUAGUCCACGCCGUAAACGAUGAGUGCUAAGUGUUAGGGGGUUUCCGCCCCUUAGUGCUGCAGCUAACGCAUUAAGCACUCCGCCUGGGGAGUACGACCGCAAGGUUGAAACUCAAAGGAAUUGACGGGGACCCGCACAAGCGGUGGAGCAUGUGGUUUAAUUCGAAGCAACGCGAAGAACCUUACCAAAUCUUGACAUCCUCUGACCCCUCUAGAGAUAGAGUUUUCCCCUUCGGGGGACAGAGUGACAGGUGGUGCAUGGUUGUCGUCAGCUCGUGUCGUGAGAUGUUGGGUUAAGUCCCGCAACGAGCGCAACCCUUAAGCUUAGUUGCCAUCAUUAAGUUGGGCACUCUAAGUUGACUGCCGGUGACAAACCGGAGGAAGGUGGGGAUGACGUCAAAUCAUCAUGCCCCUUAUGAUUUGGGCUACACACGUGCUACAAUGGACAAUACAAAGGGCAGCGAAACCGCGAGGUCAAGCAAAUCCCAUAAAGUUGUUCUCAGUUCGGAUUGUAGUCUGCAACUCGACUAUAUGAAGCUGGAAUCGCUAGUAAUCGUAGAUCAGCAUGCUACGGUGAAUACGUUCCUCGGGUCU
rnacentral:rRNA from 1 species